rnacentral:rRNA from 1 species
GAUGAACGCUAGCGGCAGGCCUAAUACAUGCAAGUCGAACGAGAUUAAGAGGCUUGCUUCUUAUGAAAGUGGCGCACGGGUGCGUAACGCGUAUGCAACCUACCUUAAUCAGGGGGAUAGCCCGAAGAAAUUCGGAUUAAGACCGCAUAAAAACACAGGAUAGCAUUAUCCAAUGUUCAAAUAUUUAUAGGAUUAAGAUGGGCAUGCGUGUCAUUAGCUAGUUGGCGGGGUAACGGCCCACCAAGGCGACGAUGACUAGGGGAUCUGAGAGGAUGACCCCCCACACUGGUACUGAGACACGGACCAGACUCCUACGGGAGGCAGCAGUAAGGAAUAUUGGUCAAUGGAGGGAACUCUGAACCAGCCAUGCCGCGUGCAGGAAGACAGCCCUCUGGGUCGUAAACUGCUUUUAUUCGGGAAUAAACCUUUCUACGUGUAGGAAGCUGAAUGUACCGAAGGAAUAAGGAUCGGCUAACUCCGUGC